rnacentral:rRNA from 1 species
CCUACGGGGGGCAGCAGUAGGGAAUUUUCGGCAAUGGGGGGAACCCUGACCGAGCAACGCCGCGUGAACGAAGAAGUUAUUCGUAAUGUAAAGUUCUUUUAACAGGGAAGAAAGAGAAAUUUGACGGUACCUGAAGAAUAAGCUCCGGCUAACUACGUGCCAGCAUCCGCGGUAAUCCGUAGGGAGCGUGCGUUAUCCGGAAUUAUUGGGCGUAAAGGGUGGGUUGAUGGAAGAGUAAGUCUUUGGUAAAAAUGCUGGGCUCAACCCAGUAGGGCAACAGAGACUGGAAAGCUAGAGUAUGACAGAGGCAAGUGGAACGACAGGUGUAGCGGUAAAAUGCGUAGAUAUAUGUAAGAACACCAGUGGCGAAGGCGGCUUGCUGGGUCGAUACUGACAUUGAGGCACGAAAGCGUGGGGAGCAAACAGGAUUAGAUACCCCAGUAGUC